rnacentral:tRNA from 1 species
GGCCCCUUGGUCAAGCGGUUAAGACACCGCCCUUUCACGGCGGUAACACGGGUUCGAAUCCCGUAGGGGUC